rnacentral:rRNA from 1 species
GACGAACCGUGCGAACGUUAUUCGGAAUCAUUGGGCUUAAAGGGCGCGUAGGCGGGCUGGCAAGUCAGGGGUGAAAGCCCACGGCUCAACCGUGGAAGUGCCUUUGAUACUGCCAGUCUGGAGGGAGGUAGGGGCGUGCGGAACUUCCGGUGGAGCGGUGAAAUGCGUAGAUAUCGGAAGGAACACCGGUGGCGAAAGCGGCGCGCUGGACCUCUUCUGACGCUGAGGCGCGAAAGCCAGGGGAGCGAACGGG